rnacentral:lncRNA from 1 species
UACUUGGGAGGUUGAGGCAGCAGAAUCAUUUGAACCUGGGAGAUGAAGAUUGCAGUGAGCCGAGAUCACACCACUGCACUCCAGCCUGGGUGACAGAGUGAGACUCCAGGCCAUGAGGAAGGACAGGUGAGUGUGAUAUUUCAAGAUACUUGGUAAUGAAGAAAAGGUGAGAGAUAUGCAAUAACCAGGGUGGUGGGUCGGGGCUGUUGGGAAAAAGGUAAACUCGGGUAGUGUGAACCAGAAAAAAUGGAAUGAAGUGGGUCUUUGCCAACCACAGGUCCAGGUUCUGCCUUGGAAGGGCUGUGUGUCCUUAGGCAAGUUUCUGUUUUGUACUUUUUGAUGUAUGGCACAGUAUUUGAAUAUAAGGUUUGAUGUAAAAAAUUUUCAGACAAAAAAAUAACAAAGUUCCCAUCAGCCUCACUCAAUCUCACCUCCCUCCCUAGAGGAUACUACCAUAUAAAGUUGCUGAGUGUGCUUCUGAGAUGUUUGUAUACACACAAUGAUGCCUAAUGUACAAUAUAUAAUGUACAUAUAUAAAUGUACUAUAUGUAUGUAGGAUACAUAGAACAUAUAAUAUUAGCAUAUCAGUAUAAAUCUAGGAUAUGUAUCUUUGAAAACAUCUAACUUGGUUGUGUGUCCGUGGUUUAUUUAUAGAAAUGAGACACACACAUACAUACAUAUAUGUGCUAUGGGCUGAAUUGUGGUCCCCCCAAAAUUCAGGUAUUGAAACCUUAACCCCCAAUGUGAAUAUAUUUGGAGACAGGGUAUCUGAAGAGGUAAUUAAGGCUGGGCAUGGUGGCUCAUGCCUGUAAUCCCAGCACUUUGGGAGGCCUAGGCAGGCAGAUCACUGGAGAUCAGGAAUUUGAGACCAGCUUGGCCAACAUGGUGAAACCCCAUCUGUACUAAAAAUACAAAAAUUAGCCAGGCAUGGUGGUGCAUGCCUGUAGUUCCAGCUACAUGGGAGGCUGAGGCACGAGGAUCGCUUGAACCUGGGAGGUGAAGGUUGCAGUGAGCUGAAAUGGCACCACUGCACACUCCAGCCUGGGUGACAGAGCAAGACUACAUCUCUAAAAAUAAUAAUAGUAAUAAAUAAAGGGGUAAUUAAGGGCCAGGCGCGCUGGCUUAUGCCUAUAAUCCCAGCACUUUGGGAGGCCAAGGCGGGUAAAUUACCCGACAUCAGGAGUUCAAGACUAGCCUGGCCAACAUGGUGAAAACCUAUCUCUACUAAAAAUAUAAAAAUUAGCUGGGCAUGGUGGCACACACCUGUGGUCCCAGCUACUCAGGAGGCUGAGGCAGGAGAAUGGCUUGAACUUGGAAGGUGGAAGUUACAGUGAGCUGAGAUCACAUCACUGCAUUCCAUCCAGCCUGGGCUGCAGAGCCAGAUUUCAUCUAAAAAAAAAAAA